rnacentral:rRNA from 1 species
GACGAACGCUGGCGGCGUGCUUAACACAUGCGAGUCGAACGGAAAGGCCUUUUCGGCGGUACUCGAGUGGCGAACGGGUGAGUAACACGUGGGUGAUCUGCCCUGCACUCUGGGAUAAGCCUGGGAAACUGGGUCUAAUACCGGAUAGGACCGCACUUUAGUGUGUGUGGUGGAAAGUUUUUUCGGUGUAGGAUGAGCCCGCGGCCUAUCAGCUUGUUGGUGGGGUAAUGGCCUACCAAGGCGGCGACGGGUAGCCGGACUGAGAGGUUGGUCGGCCACAUUGGGACUGAGAUACGGCCCAGACUCCUACGGGAGGCAGCAGUGGGGAAUAUUGCACAAUGGGCGCAAGCCUGAUGCAGCGACGCCGCGUGGGGGAUGACGGCCUUCGGGUUGUAAACUCCUUUCGCCAGGGACGAAGCGUUUUGUGACGGUACCUGGAGAAGAAGCACCGGCUAACUACGUG